rnacentral:rRNA from 1 species
AUUGAACGCUGGCGGCAGGCCUAACACAUGCAAGUCGAACGAGCGGCGGACGGGUGAGUAAUGUAUGGGAAACUGCCUGAUGGAGGGGGAUAAAUACUGGAAACGGUAGCUAAUACUGCAUACUAUCAGAUGUGCCCAGAUGGGAUUAGCUCGUGGGUGGGGAAACGGCCAACCAAGGCGACGAUGCCUAGCUGGUCUGCGAGGAUGAUCAGCCACACUGGAACUGAGACACGGUCCAGACUCAUACGGGAGGCAGCAGUGGGGAAUAUUGCACAAUGGGCGCAAGCCUGAUGCAGCCAUGCCGCGUGGAUGAAGAAGGCCUUAGGGGUGUAAAGUACUUUCAGCGGGGAGGCGUUACCCAAAGAGGAAGCACCGGCUAACUCCGUGCCAGCAGCCGCGGUAAUUC